GGAAGGAUGGUCCAGUGAUUAGGGCACUAGCCUGGGACUCUGGAGACCUGGGUACAAGGCCCUGCUCUGCCA
rnacentral:tRNA from 1 species